AUUGAACGCUGGCGGCAGGCCUAACACUGCAAGUCGAGCGGAUGAGUGGAGCUUGCUCCAUGAUUCAGCGGCGGACGGGUGAGUAAUGCCUAGGAAUCUGCCUGGUAGUGGGGGACAACGUUUCGAAAGGAACGCUAAUACCGCAUACGUCCUACGGGAGAAAGCAGGGGACCUUCGGGCCUUGCGCUAUCAGAUGAGCCUAGGUCGGAUUAGCUAGUUGGUGAGGUAAAGGCUCACCAAGGCGACGAUCCGUAGCUGGUCUGAGAGGAUGAUCAGUCACACUGGAACUGAGACACGGUCCAGACUCCUACGGGAGGCAGCAGUGGGGAAUAUUGGACAAUGGGCGAAAGCCUGAUCCAGCCAUGCCGCGUGUGUGAAGAAGGUCUUCGGAUUGUAAAGCACUUUAAGUUGGGAGGAAGGGCAGUAAGUUAAUACCUUGCUGUUUUGACGUUACCGACAGAAUAAGCACCGGCUAACUUCGUGCCAGCCGCCGCCGUAACAC
rnacentral:rRNA from 1 species